AAUCAACGGGAGGAUGGACUCUUGUUUACCUUUGCAUCACAUCGCAAAGCGUGUGCGGAGGCAUGCGAAAGCCUGAGCAGCUUGCUCGUUUGGGACCUCACGCCAGUUUUGAUCAAUGAAGCAGCAAACGAGCCAACGAUUGCGCAGAUGACAACCUGACGACCUUGUACCUGAACAUAAAAUACAAGAACAUGUGUUCAUACAGCAUUCCCAACGAGAGACCAGACCCUUCGCCAAGGCCAAACAACCAAUUGUAUAAUGUACGUAUACAAUCUAUGUAUACUGAUCGUCUCCAAAGAGAUGUCCUAUCUGGUGUUGACUUUGCCCGCAGGUAAACCGGUUACACUGAAAAGAAGCGAGCGAUUUGCGGAAACCAAUGCGCUCCAUUGAUUGUUAUCAAUGCUCGGGCAGCCCACUGUACAAGGUAUGUUGCCCUUUUUCCUGCUUACCACACUCAAACGCGUAUCCCUCAAUCAAAUGACUCAAGUACAAUUUAAUUUUUAGUUGGGAUCUUGAUCGAAUAACUACUACUUUGAAGAACAAAAAAAAAAGUUGGAAGGUUACGCAAGAGCAGUGCAAGUUGCUGUAGGGAAUUAACAUGCUCCUCAGAGUGAAAAACAAUAUUAAAUAUGUAAAAACCAA